rnacentral:rRNA from 1 species
ACAUGCAAGUCGAGCGGCAGCGGGUCCUUCGGGAUGCCGGCGAGCGGCGGACGGGUGAGUAAUGCCUAGGAAUCUGCCUGGUAGUGGGGGAUAACUCGGGGAAACUCGAGCUAAUACCGCAUACGUCCUACGGGAGAAAGCGGGGGAUCUUCGGACCUCGCGCUACCAGAUGAGCCUAGGUCGGAUUAGCUGGUUGGUGAGGUAAAGGCUCACCAAGGCGACGAUCCGUAGCUGGUCUGAGAGGAUGAUCAGCCACACUGGAACUGAGACACGGUCCAGACUCCUACGGGAGGCAGCAGUGGGGAAUAUUGGACAAUGGGCGAAAGCCUGAUCCAGCCAUGCCGCGUGUGUGAAGAAGGUCUUCGGAUUGUAAAGCACUUUAAGUUGGGAGGAAGGGCAGUAAGUUAAUACCUUGCUGUUUUGACGUUACCGACAGAAUAAGCACCGGCUAACUUCGUGCCAGCAGCCGCGGUAAUACGAAGGGNGC